AGAUAUUUAAAAAUGAUAAUAGAAAUAAAGUCUCGACUGCUAUAAAUACCAGUAGCAUAAGUUUCAAUAAAGCCACUUACUCCCUAAACAACAAGAAGGCUCCAUUAGCAGCCUGACUAAGGUAAUCACGAAGAUGUUUUCUACGUAUGUCCUGGCGCUGAUGAUGGUUGUUGUAGUCGCAAUAGAGGCAGGCCCCUUGUAUAAGGGAUGCAACAGCACAGCUCUCGGUGAGGUCGGUAAAAAACAGGACUUUCCUAUGAUCCACGACUAUAUAACAUUCGCGGGCAAAUCGUACGCCUGUUACCCGCUAACCCAUGAUAUCGACACCCACUACGGUAUCUUCUGCGGAUGCCCUUUUUUGGCGUGUUCCGGUGGACUCGACUGCUAUGGUUUGUUCCACUGCUUCAUCAAGAACUACGACUACGAUUAUCGCGACAUGAAGGAAUCGGAUUGCGGCUGUCAUGACCACUGAACGGCGGGUCCAUAAGUUAAAAAUAAAGGCACAGAAGCGGGAAGAAUUGACUAAAACCAUUAAAAAUAGAAAACGUAAAGUUCACUAGAAUGUCCGGUGAAAGUGUUUUUCAUUUUCUUAUUAAUUAUACUGGCAUUAAUGUCACAGUGCAGCGACGCUAAAUUAAUAAAUAAAUGCUUCUUCCUCCGGGAUCAAUAUCGCUGUCAAACUUAAAAUACCGUACAAUUAGUGUCUUUUUUCAUCUUUAAUAAUAUUUGGAUGUCAAUCAAUAUAUCAGUAUACGAUUCCAAAUAAAAUUUUUGUAUCUGUAUAAAACAUA